CGCCAUGCUAGUGGAGAGUGAGGCACCAACUUUGUUUAGUUGCAAGAAGAGGUCUAUUCCCAGCCAUAUUAGCACCUACAUGAUUUAACCAAGUCAGCUGAAUUUGAUGUUGUGUCCCAGUAAUGAUUUAAUAAGGAUUAAAGCUUCUGAAGCUUUACAAAAACCUCACAGGAAGUUCUACAUGUAUUCACUCCACAUUUUCUCCCGGAAAGUGCAAGCUACUUACUCUGCACGGGAAACUGCCAGUAAAAGACUGCUGAACUGCAGCCAGUGACUUACAAAGAGGAUUCGCAGAGGUGUGACGGAGCUGCAUGGGGUCAGAAGGCACCCUCCUCCCAAGGCAUCCCUCCCAUCAUCUCUGGGAAUGACAGUGGGCUGCAGGAGGGGGCUGCCUCCCGUGGAUGUUUUGCAAAAGGAGAAGAGCACUCACUGUGCCGGUCCCAAGGAGCUGCUGGAAACCACAGAUGGGUCAAGGGUUCCUCUCAGCCUUGGUGAGAUGUGUUGCUGUUGGCAGAAUAUCAGC
rnacentral:lncRNA from 1 species